CUCAUCUUCACUUUCAUAUAAAGAAAUUGAGGUACAGCAAGAUUAAGCAACCUGCCCACAGUCACAGCUGAUAAAUGGUUGAACACUAACUAAUUCAUUAAUUGACAAUAAUUGUUCAACUCAGGCAGGUGGGCUCCAAGAGCCUUAACUCUUAAUCACUACACUGUGUUGUCAAGGAAACAGCCACUGAAGAUUCUGGUUAUGGAGGUAGGUGGGCAAGGAAGUGAGCUGUGGCUGUGGCUGACUCCACAUUAAGCAACAUCCUUUUGUUACAUGAAGCCCAAAGGGAAUGCUGGGAAAGCAGGGGGCGGGCGGGGGGAGACAACGGGACACAAAAGCCCAAAGUUGAAGGAAUCUAGUUUGUAGAAGAGAAGACUGAGAAUAGAAGCUGUUCUAAUCUAGAAUGUUCUAAAGUAACAAACGCUGCUCUGAAUAAAUCUACGAAGCAGGUGUGGGAAUUUCAAGUCAGUUAAGAAUUUCAUAGCCAACUGGUGAAUGAGAUUCUUCUAUGGUACCUGUCAUGUAAUAUCAUCUCCUUUGCUCAAAAUUAAGGAAACAGGUAAUUUCCGUGGUCCAGUAAUCACGGUUCCCAAAACCAGUGCCAGGAAACUGCACCAGCACAAAGGAAAGGAAAGAAGGCAACGCAUAGAACAUAAAAGACCUUCCUCAGUUUUUCUGCCUACUCCCAAACCAAUUAUUCAUCAUCCUUCCCAAUAGGAAGAAAUAAGGCUCCCUGAAGUGCAGUCCACGAAGUGGGUGAAUUGCUUUUGUUCCGCUCCUUCCGAGGCUCGCCCACCCGAGGCAGACACAUCUACCCAGUUCUGGCAGGGACGCGCUCCAGGGCGGUGUAGGGGGCCUCGGAGUUGCCACCAAGCCUGCAGACGAGAGGAUCCUUCGCUUCGGACUCUGAAUUCAGCGCCUGUACCGGACGCUGGAAAAACCGAGUUGGGAGCGCCAAGUGAGAUCGCCUGGGGCUCUGUCUCCCCUCUGACUUGAAAUCUCGCUGGAACGUUCACACCUAAUAAAUACAGUCUUUUACUUAAGCCA
rnacentral:lncRNA from 1 species